rnacentral:rRNA from 1 species
GUUGAACGCUGGCGGCGUGCCUAAUACAUGCAAGUCGAGCGAACAGACGAGGAGCUUGCUCCUCUGACGUUAGCGGCGGACGGGUGAGUAACACGUGGAUAACCUACCUAUAAGACUGGGAUAACUUCGGGAAACCGGAGCUAAUACCGGAUAAUAUAUUGAACCGCAUGGUUCAAUAGUGAGAGACGGUUUUGCUGUCACUUAUAGAUGGAUCCGCGCCGCAUUAGCUAGUUGGUAAGGUAACGGCUUACCAAGGCAACGAUGCGUAGCCGACCUGAGAGGGUGAUCGGCCACACUGGAACUGAGACACGGUCCAGACUCCUACGGGAGGCAGCAGUAGGGAAUCUUCCGCAAUGGGCGAAAGCCUGACGGAGCAACGCCGCGUGAGUGAUGAAGGUCUUCGGAUCGUAAAACUCUGUUAUUAGGGAAGAACAAAUGUGUAAGUAACUAUGCACGUCUUGACGGUACCUAAUCAGAAAGCCACGGCUAACUACGUG